rnacentral:rRNA from 1 species
GCGACUAAGCGUACACGGUGGAUGCCCUGGCAGUCAGAGGCGAUGAAGGGCGUGCUAAUCUGCGAUAAGCGCCGGUAAGGUGAUAUGAACCGUUAUAACCGGCGAUACCCGAAUGGGGAAACCCAGUGUGACUCGUCACACUAUCAUUAACUGAAUCCAUAGGUUAAUGAGGCGAACCGGGGGAACUGAAACAUCUAAGUACCCCGAGGAAAAGAAAUCAACCGAGAUUCCCCCAGUAGCGGCGAGCGAACGGGGAGGAGCCCAGAGCCUGAAUCAGCAUGUGUGUUAGUGGAAGCGUCUGGAAAGGCGCGCGAUACAGGGUGACAGCCCCGUACACAAAAGCGCAUGUGCUGUGAGCUCGAUGAGUAGGGCGGGACACGUGGUAUCCUGUCUGAAUAUGGGGGGACCAUCCUCCAAGGCUAAAUACUCCUGACUGACCGAUAGUGAACCAGUACCGUGAGGGAAAGGCGAAAAGAACCCCGGCGAGGGGAGUGAAAAAGAACCUGAAACCGUGU